rnacentral:rRNA from 1 species
AAUGGGGGAAACCCUGACGCAGCAACGCCGCGUGGGUGAAGAAGGCCUUCGGGUUGUAAAGCUCUGUCUUCUGGGACGAUAAUGACGGUACCAGAGGAGGAAGCCACGGCUAACUACGUGCCAGCAGCCGCGGUAAUACGGAGGGUGCAAGCGUUGUUCGGAAUUAUUGGGCGUAAAGAGUAUGUAGGCGGAUAUUUAAGUCAGAUGUGAAAUUCCCGGGCUUAACCUGGGAGCUGCAUUUGAUACUGGAUAUCUAGAGUGCAGGAGAGGAAAGUGGAAUUCCUAGUGUAGCGGUGAAAUGCGUAGAGAUUAGGAAGAACACCAGUGGCGAAGGCGACUUUCUGGACUGUAACUGACGCUGAGAUACGAAAGCGUGGGUAGCAAA